ACUGGCUUGCAAAGGAGGAGUUAAUUUUUUUUUUUUUUGCUAAGGGGAUUGUGAUUCACCGGUGAGCAGAAGCGGGCACAGGCAGUCUCCUAACGUCCCCAGGCCUUAGCGCUCCUUCUGGGGAUCGCAGGCUAGGAGGAACCGCUCUGACCUUCGGUUCUCUCCCUGGCAUUUCUCAGCUCAGCGGAAGAAAAGAAGGCCGGGAGACUAGCAAUCCCGGAGGGCUGUAACGGUCCCUGUUUGAAGGCUGUUUUCUUGUGGCAUUUGUUUUGCGUCCUUCGAUGUCUGGGAGAUAACCUUGGCCUGAGCCGGAGCGGUGUGGCCUUCUUUUAACCUGCAGGGUGGCAUUUCUCUGCACUGUAUCCUGCUCCUGCACAUUGCUCCCCCGUGGGGAGGACAGUGUCAUUGGUUUAUUCCAUGAUAGGAGGAUUGCUUUUAGUAUCAGAAGCGCAGUCUGCAGCUAAGGCUGAACGCCAUGACUGCAUCGUAUUUUUGAGUAGUCAGAGAUAUGCAGGUUCCCAGCGCUUCUCCACAAUCAAGCCACCCUCCACCUCUGCCCAACACUGAGCCUUAAUACUGUUUGUUUUGUUUUUUCAAGACAAAGUUUCUUUAUAACCCUGGCUAUACUGGAACUUGCUCUGUAGACCAGGCUAGCCUCUAACUUGACUGCAGCUGCCCCAGGAACUCUGAGAGGCAUGUGCUGCUACCUACCUGCUCUUUUUUUUUUUCUCCUUCUUUUUAAUAAGAUAUAUGAACACGCAUUAAAUUUUUAAAAUCAAUUUUUAUGUAUGGGUGUUUUGCACACGUGUAUCUCAGUGUACCACGUGGGUGGAGUGCCCACAGAGACCAGAAGGGGAUAUUGGGACUGUAGUUAAAGGGGUUGUAAGCCUCUGUGUGGGUGCUGGGAAUGAACCCAGGGCCAGUGCUCUUAACCCAUAAGCUCCAGCUGGUCUCUCUCUCUCUCUUUGUUUUGUAGACAGAGUCUCAGUGUGUAGUUCUACCUGGACUCUGUGUGUAGCACAGACUAGUCUUGAACUUUUGAUCCUGCCUCUACCUCCCAAGUGCUGGAAUCCACUACGUGGGUCAAGCUGGCAGAUCUUCGUGCUGACAUUACGGACCUGUCUGCACUGUGUUUCUGUCUGCACUCUGUGUGUGUGUGUUGGGGGAUGUUGUCUUGUAGCUGAGGCUGGGUAUGAGCUUCUAUGCAGCCCUUGAACUAUAUCCCUUGUGUUCAGAUUAUAGGUUGUUUUGUUUUGUUUUUCUCUUAAUUUUGGUUUUCAGAAUCAAGACCUUGCUACCUGUCUCAAGCAAGCUGGCCUCAAACUCGGCUCUGUUGUUCAUGCUGAUCUUCGGGUCAUCAUUUUCCUGCCUGACUGUCCUUGGAGUUUAUUUAAAGGCACCUCCCAGAGAGAUCCACCAUAGUUUGUGAGACACCAUGUAGGCUUUAACAAAAUGUGGAGCAGUGGUCUGGUCUCUUCUCUCACGCAACUGAGAAAGCCAGUCUUUCCUAGGAAGUCCUCAUGAAGUUGAGUUCAUGCACACUUGACAGAUUCUGGAGACCAGGGUUGCAGACGAUACUGGGCUGGGCUGGGCUGGCCAUCUUUAAUAGGUUAGCUUAAGGAAAGAACAGUGCUGUGCUGGUGUGGGGAUACUUUGUCCAUUCGUGUUUCAGGUCACCGAAGAACUCUUCCGUAUCAUAGCCAUUUAGGAAAGUCCAGGUUUAGAGGAAAGUGUUUCUUCUCCAACAUGCCUUCCAAACCUCCAGGGCCACUCUGUGCUGGGCUCCUAUGGUGGGCCCUCCAACAUGCCAGGAACUUGUGGGGAGGGGAUGCCAGGCAGUCCCAGGGACUGAUGAAGUAAUAUGUGUCUCCCCCCCCCACACACACACCUCCUCAUGCUGUCGUGGGAGUAGGUCUUCAGAGAGUGGCUCUGGUCACCUCCUUGCUAAACUGAGCAUAUUGACAAGACCAUUCAGAGCAGAAGAAAGGAUAGUCUGUGUGGAAAGCCGUUUUCCCCCAAACAGAGACUAGACUCAGGGUUCUGUGCAUGCUGGGCAGAUAGUGGACAUUGAGCUACAUUCUCACAUUGGCCCAGUUAUGUCCGUGGGUCUUCCCUCUCCCUACGCCCCGUACCCCCAGGGUCUCAGCACGUAGGUCUGUCUGUCUGGCCUAGAGCUUUCUAUGUACACCAGGCUGGCCUCGAAGCCACAGAGAUCCACCAUGGAUUGUGAGGGAAAUCUGUAGGAUUGUUCCAAUUUUGCUCAAACCAUAAGAUGAGCUGAUUUAUAGCUUUAGAACCUAGAGAGCCACCAUGAAGUUGGCAUAGGCUUGUUUGCCAAAUAAUUUUGGUUUAGAUCACUUGGCUCAAUUUUAAAAAGCAAUAGAAGUUAUUUAAGAGACUACGCCUGGCCUUCUUUCUCAUGUCAGGAAAUUUGAGUGCUGCAUGCCCUGGUGGCUCACACAUCUCUAGCACUCAGGAGGCAAAGGCAGGCAGCUCUCUGUGGGCUCAAGACCAGCCUGGUCUACAUAGUGACCAUAGUGAAUUUCAGGGUAACUAGGGCUACAUAUUGAGGCCCUGUCUACAAAUAAUUAAUUACUUGAGUGCUUCCCUGUUCUGUUACCACAGGCCUACAGCGUCUCACAUUUUCUUUUGCCUUGUGCCUGGGUCAGCUUAUUCUGAUUAUGUUUAUUGUGCUUUCCUUCCUGGAGGAUCCUAGAAACUGCUCAGGUCUCUUGCUUUCUUUUGGUUUUUUGUUUUUUGUUUUGUUUUGUUGUUGUUUUUUGUUUGAGAAAGUGCUUCUUGUAGUAGGAGCUAGCCUUGAACCCCUUAUCCUCCUGUCUUCAGCUCCCCAGUGCUAGAGCUGCCUAAAAACUCCCCCUGCCUGGGUCAUCCUCCUUCCCACAUUUACUUGGAAUUCUGGGUGUUUUGAGCAGUUAUUUUCCUGUGGCUGUAGGUCCAGGCUUUCACCCCUGCUAGGCAAGCACUGAGCCACUGAGCUGCAUUUCCUGCAACGUAAGUGUCUUUUUUAAAAGUCCCCCAGGUGAUUUCAGUUGUAGCAAAAGAACCUUGGUUGUUCCUGCACUCAUAAGGUGGGUGCUUCAAGUUCAAGGCCAACCUGUGGUAUAUACUGAUACUGUCUAUCAAAAAAAUGAACGAAAUUCCUUCAAAUUGUAUUAUCAUGUAAAUAAGACACAAUACCGUAGUGGAUACAUUUAUUUAGGAUAUUAUUGGAUAUAGCAAUGAUAAUUAAAUUUUUCUUAAUCUAUCCAGGUAAUCCAGCACGUAUGGCUAGGUUACAAGAUUAGUUGGGUGAGCUUCAAGGUCUAAGACAGUGGUUCUCACCCUGUGGGUUGGGGUCACACAUAUCAGAUAUCAUGCAUAUCAGAUAUUUACAUUGUAAUUCAUAACAGUAGCAAAAUUGCAGUUAUGAAGUAGCAAUGGAAUAAUUUUAUGGCCUGAGGUCACCACAACAUGAGGAACUGUAUUAAAGGGUCAUAGCAUUGGGAAGGCUGAGAAUCACUGGUCUUAAGGGAGUAAGAUGCUAAUGAGGUACAUUUCAGUGUGACAGCAGAGCUUUCAGACCUCACAGCCGCACCACCGUGGCAGGGGUCAUGUCUAAGAGCCUCUUUGAAAAUGUUCUAUGAGUGAGCUGGGGUUGUUGCUCACUUGGUAGAGAGUUGGCCAAGCAUGAUCGAGGUUCUGGUUCAAUCCUGAGCUCUACCUAAACCAGGUUUGGCAGUACAUACCAGUAAUCCCAGCAUUCAAGAGGCAGAGACAUCUUCACGUACAAAGCAUAUCUGGGGCUAGCCUGGAAUACGUGUUUUU
rnacentral:lncRNA from 1 species